UGUUUCCUUUUCCACAUCUGAAUGGCUGCCUGUUCCUCCAUGUGUGAUUCAUUCUCGAGAGAAGAUGUCAGAGCCGUAUUAUUUGACUAACUCAGUGGGAGUACGGCCAGAUCAUCCUGCUUGAGUCAUCCAGACAGGAAUAUUUCAUCAAGCCUGCAGGGUUCUGGCUCACGACGUGCAGGGCUUGAAAGAGUGAGAUGGACACUGGGCUCAACUCAGCUGGAAGAACUGCAUCCUGCAUAUGUUCUCCUGCUGGAGACUUCCAUGCUGUAAGCUUUGCCUGUGACAAAGCUGUCUUCCUUCUAACAAAGGAAUUACCGUGGCUCUUUUGGAGCAGCAGAUAUACAGCACAAUGGAAAGUACCGAAUGCUUAGGGAAAGAGCAUGAGAACAGAGACAACUUAUAGAGGUCCUACUCAUGGCAACCCCUGCUCAGAGAUGCCUGGCAGUGAGCGGUCUGACCCCUGCCUUCAGCAGGUGCCAGUGCUCGUGAAUUUAUCUCCACCUUCUCUGAGCCCAGGUAGGUUUUUCAUCUUUACAAAGUCCUCUUGCCAGUGAGUUCUGCAUAUCAGCUGCAUCUGUUCCUGUAAAGAUGCCUCCUGCUAGGCAGAGAAUAGCCUGAGGCUCAUGUCCCUGGUAGAUCCUGUGUAAAUCCUGACUGAAAGCAGGGAGAGCUGCCCAGUCAUUGAUGAUAAUGCCUGUUCCUAAAUUUAGGCUUAAGACUCGAGCUUUAGGCGCCUCUAAUGGGAAGCUUUUCUGAUUUCCACAGCAAGAAUGAUGGAAUGAAAUUCAUGGCUGAGAAGUGCAAGGAACAAAAAAGAAUUCUAGCAAGUGGUAAAAUAUGUGAUCCUAUGGCGUCAGGUUGCAAACACAGGUUCUGCAUCUCCUACCGAGUGUCUGUGUGACCCUGAUGUGCCCACCUGGAAAGGAGAUAGAAAGGUUAUUAUUGACCUAGAAAUGACACAGCUCCCAGCAGGUGGGCACAGGCUGCCUGACACACUUUGAUGUCUUUGUCCUCACAGCAGCUUUGGAGGACAAUGGUGACUUCGGUGUGCCUUUGAUGCCAGCCUGGCAUCUUAAUGAUUGAGCUGUUCUGCUGUGCCUCCCCAGCCAGCCAUUUCCUGUGGCAUGAGCCUUAACUGAUAGUUGCCUGCAAGUGUAUUUCAAGAGCAGAGUGAAGUUGGUGUUAGAAGAGAAGCAUAUUGGCCUGUUGGGCAGCAGCAGUUCGGAUACCUCAGUACUGCAGUUAUAUUUGAUGGUGCACGUACUUUGCUGCAGGAAAGCUGCCAAAUGGCAUCAUACUCCUACAUCAGAGCUCUAUGCAGAUGAAAAAAAAGUGAAUUUCCAUGAGCUUCUUGGCCACAAAAGUACUUGCAGGUCUUUAUACAGCUUCACCAGGCUGGGAUCAAGGCCUGGCUCAGACCAGAAAGCACCAUUGGGGCUGAUGUUGUCUGUAUGAGUUGGGGCUUAUUGAGUGGCUCAGACAAGGGUGAAGGUAGAAGUUCCCCAGCCAAGUCCCCUAGGACUAAAUGACAGAAUUACAGUCUGAUCCCCAGCUCAUGGCCCCAGGAAGGGGCAGCUUUCUCCUAAAUGUUUAUGUUAGUAGAGGGAGGUUUUUAACUCUUUGUCAUGAUUCUUCUUUAGCCUACAAGUCAGGUGUGGCAGUCCUAGGACGAGCUAUGGUUGGAUCAGGCUUUUCUCCUAUUUCAAAUGUUAGAAAACCUUUCUCAUUUCUGUUUUGUUAACCUUGCUGAUGGUCUUCCACUUUUCUUUCUGCAGCAAGUGGAAGUCCAUGAAUCCCCAGCCAUGCAGAUCAUUUUUCUAGGUUUGUUUCUCUGUCACAGGGAGUGUAGACCCACUGUCCUAACUCCAGUGGCUGAUUUUGAAUUCUUUUGGCUCUGAUCUGAAGCCCCACUGAAGGCCAUAGAGGUUUUCCCAGCAUGAUUAAUAUUACCCAAUUUCAAAGUAUUACUUCCCUCUCGAAUUGCCACCACACAUUCCUACAGGAUAACUUGCCCUUGCCACAUCAUUUGGAUUGCCCAGCUGUUGCUCAGCUACAAGACUCCAUAAGAGCCCAAGCCACAGCAGAGUGAGCACCGAAGCAUUUCAAAUACAAGACCUAAAGGAUGCUCAUCAAUGUACGUGCAGGUAUAUUAUAGGUCCCGAAAUCUGAGGUUUUAGUGACCGUGGCUGUUACCUUUGAGCUGACACAGCUCUGGCUGUUCCCAGCUCAGCUUUUGCUGGAACCAGCUUGUUUGCAGACUGUGGCCAGAGACACCAGUUUUAAGGAAUGUGCGUCCUUCACGGGAAAUUGCUAAAGGAAGGCCCUCAAAAGAGGGAAGUGGGAUAGGAAAGGAGCUCCUUGUUGCUGAGAGGAAAAGCUGUGAUUGUCAGGGUUAAGCCCUGGUUGCUGGAGUCAGGUUAAGUGAUGCACUACCGAUGUAAACAGCAGAACUGGCCAGAGCUGCUAUGGAUGGAUUGAUCUGUCUCUGCAGCAGUGACACUUUUCAGCUCUUCCCUGACAGUUUGCCUAAGGGACUUGUUUUAUAUCCAGAAACUGGGAUUGCAUUUCUGCAGCCUCAUACAAAUGAAUGCCACCGAUUGCCCAGGACACGUCUUUGGUUCCCACAGCAGCUGUGUGUCAAAGACACAGCACUGUGCUUCCAGCAACAUUAAUUAAUAAUCUGGAGGUGAGUGCUCAGCUUGACACUUGAAUUUAAUAACAGUUCAUCUGAAUGCAGGAGAAAAUUUCUCUAAACCUCCAGCAGCAUCUGGUAGGGACUCACUCUUCAGCUCUCUGGUGGCUAUGGCUGUGGCUUGUGUGGAGAGGAAGCCUGGAGAAAGCUUUUCUUGAGGUUCAGCUGCCUUCAGUGUGAGUCAGCAAUGGGAAACAAAGAUAAGAGCAAACAGCUGAACGGUGCUAGACCGUCCCCAGAGCAAGGCUGGAAUGGCAUCGUGCUCAAGAGCUUCCUUGGAGUAAAUGGUCAUGUUGGUCCAUAGCAACCAAGUUCCCGCCUACACCUCCGGUGUGAUGCCAGACCAAGGGGGCCUGUGGCAAGGGCAAGGAUUGCAGUUUUGGUCUUCUUUUUAUCUUCUUUUUUUCCAAAGAUUGCUGUUGGUGUUUGCAUUAUAGAUGUGAGCUCAUGGAGGAACCACAGCUGACCAUACAAGGGGUCAACUCUUUUUUUCCCCGUGUUUUAUGACAGGAAAACAAUAUGAAUGAAACCUAUAAGUUAAGAAGAGAGGAGUUCACUAUAAAAUACUGUACACUGGAUUUCUGGUCCAUAUACGGUGACACAGCCCUACUGAGAAAAUGCACAUCAAGGGUGACUCCACAUUGUUGUUUUUUCUUGUUGUUAACAGCUAUUUAACUUUAACAUCUCUACAAGCAAUGAGGAACAAACCUCUCCUGGGAAAGUGUUAGUGCUUUUUGAUCCCUAAACUCAAAAGCAAGAGAAGCUCUUGGUGAAACACUUGGUGAUGUGCCUAAUUUUUGUAGAGCUGCCUCUAGAAAAAGAGGGCAAAUCCCCCAAAACUCAUAAUCAAGUGGGACUUAAUAAGAUACUGCAUUAAUGUAUGGGAAUUCAGCUCAUGGGAACUUGUGCCACAUAUAUGGGGUUGUUCUAACACCAACAAAAGAGCCUAAAUUUGAAAAUAACCUGGAACACUGCCCAGAUUUUUUACUUUGUUUCCUGUGUACUCACUUGCCUGUCACUUCUAAACCCAUUUUGCCUCUCACUUAGCAGUGGAGUUGUGCCCAGGUAAAGGCACUGCUUGUGCACUGGUUAAAUAUUAGUUUCAUAAUGCAUAUCCAUUCUUUGGUCCCAGGGUAUCACUUACAGUGAAUUAUUCUGCUGUGUUAUGUUGUCUAUUGAUCACUCUUUUUUGCCUUUUAUCCUUGUUGUUGUUGUUGUUCUUUUGCCUGUCUCUUGCAGAAAGUGGUGCCAGACCAUUAGGAAACUGAAUUAUUAAACCUCUGUAUUGAUUUUUUCUUGACCAUAUAGCUGACGUUAUCGUGCAAGGACCUUGCCUUGAGCUAUGCAGAAGGGGUUUUGCUAAACACUUGACAGCUCUCCUCAUUCCUUUGCUUCAUUACCUUCCCUCUCUUUCUCACUUCAUCAUUUCCAAGAGGAGGAGAUUCUUAAAACCAUUAUGUAGAGUCAUUGCAUUUCACUGUGAGGCUCCUUUUGCUAGCAGCCACACAAAUGAUGGUAUUUUUCUUUCUUUUCACUCCAGAGGUACACAAACAGAUCAGCCCAUUUGCUAAAAGCCUCAGCACUGACACCACAGUAUCCAUGGCAACGCCCCAACCUGCGCAAGCAUCUGCAGACACUUCAAAAUACCAAGAGAUGACAAGGAGUCGCUUCAGACAAUGGAUGUUUAUGGGUGUCACAACCAUCUGAAAUACUUCUCUCUCCACCCAUCAGCUCCUUGAUUAUAACAUGCUUUAUAUUGUUCUUGCAGCUCCUUUGUCAGAAGCCAUGAUUCAAGGCAGAAUUAAUCCCUGUUUUGAUGUUCAUUUGCUUGUGGGUUUUUUUUUUCAUUUAGAUGACUGGCUGAGGUACCUCAUGGGAAUGAGCACCCCAAGCUCUGCUGUUAACCUUCCUCUUUGAACUGAGUUGCAGUACAGGCUCUUCAAAUGAUAAAAUCCAAAGUUGUAAUUGAAAAAGAAGUGGUCUCUGUCAACUAACUAACAGAGGUGGUUGUGUGAGUGCUCGGCUGAGUGGUGAUUUGCCACAUCACGUUGCAUGAGCUACUGCUUUCCUAUAGUGAUGAUAGAUUUAAUAAGAUCCAGUGAACCAUUUUUGAGGAAUGUUUUAACUGAAGUUAAAACAUCUCUAUUGGCAUAGCAGAGACUGUGCUACUGUGUUUACAGUCGCUGGUCUUCACCAAACCUGAAGGUUGUUCAGCUCUGCUUUCAGGAGAUAACAUUCAGGUGCUCAGGCUGCAUAUCUGAAGCUGGUUGCAGAAAAUGUAUCAGUUCAUUAGACCAGGCGCUUACCUGCAAAAACACCUGUAAUUCAGACUAAGUAACUGCAUCUAGAGCACUGAUAAACUGUUAAGUCCUGGGCUGAUGAUGACCAUGGGUUAGGAGCAGUUUUAUAACACAGCAAAACAGCAGGAACUCUUCAGGCAUUCAGGGCCAUCUUCCUCAAAUCAGGGAAGUAUUUCAACCUGACUAAGAUGUGAUGGGUGUGCUUAUCAAUCAGGUUGAGGCCAUUCUCAAAACUAGACAACUGCAUGUGUUGUUCACACAAAGGCUGAGUGUGAGGCUGAGUUUGAGGUUUGGUAAUGGGAAAGAGCCCAAGUACGUUGAUGCUUAACCUCCAGCCACAGCCUUGUUCUGUCUGUAAUGUUUCCACUCUCUUAAGAAGUAAUAUUGGUGUUUUAUUCAUAGAAAGGCAGAAAGAAAUACAAAGCCCAAACCCAAGACGAACUAUGUUGCCCCAUAUUGGGAUGUUAACUUGAUUAAGCUAAUCUGUUUUCAGCUGAUGGUUUAAGCUUCAGGCUUGGAAAAGCAGUAGCAUUUACAUGUUUGAACACAAGAGGAGCAUAUUAAAAAGCCUUAUCAAAAUUCCACAUUAAUAAAACAAGCUAUCAGUGCAUCAGAGCACUGAUGAGCUUCCCUCUGCAAGCAUGCAAGCAUCGUAAUAGAUUCUUUGUAAGGUCUUUAAUCCUCAGUAGCUACUGUUGGAAAAAUUCAGACUUUCCCCUAGAACAGGAAAUUAAAUCUCAAAAAUAAUACAUCUCUUGUAUUCUGUCCAGUUUGACUAUUCAGUAACUCAUACAUUAUAUUUAUUUUGAAAAGCAGUUUUUUCCUAUGGUUUCGCUACAGAUGCAAUGUGUAAGGAGAUUUCACCACUUAAAACUUAACUUGUGUUCUGUUCAUCUUCUCUUUGAUCCUACUGCUGCUGAACAGACAGGCUGCUGCCAUACUGCAUCUGAGCCAGAGGCAUUGAUUCCUCCAUGGCAUAUGGAAUAUUCUGAACAUUUCUCCAGUUAGUUACAUCACCCCUCU